UUGAGGUUGUGAGUAG
rnacentral:piRNA from 1 species